rnacentral:rRNA from 1 species
AAUAGAUACCCCGGUAGUCCACGCCGUAAACGAUGAGUGCUAAGUGUUAGGGGGUUUCCGCCCCUUAGUGCUGCAGCUAACGCAUUAAGCACUCCGCCUGGGGAGUACGGCCGCAAGGCUGAAACUCAAAGGAAUUGACGGGGGCCCGCACAAGCGGUGGAGCAUGUGGUUUAAUUCGAAGCAACGCGAAGAACCUUACCAGGUCUUGACAUCCUCUGACAACUCUAGAGAUAGAGCGUUCCCCUUCGGGGGACAGAGUGACAGGUGGUGCAUGGUUGUCGUCAGCUCGUGUCGUGAGAUGUUGGGUUAAGUCCCGCAACGAGCGCAACCCUUGAUCUUAGUUGCCAGCAUUCAGUUGGGCACUCUAAGGUGACUGCCGGUGACAAACCGGAGGAAGGUGGGGAUGACGUCAAAUCAUCAUGCCCCUUAUGACCUGGGCUACACACGUGCUACAAUGGACGGUACAAAGAGUCGCAAGACCGCGAGGUGGAGCUAAUCUCAUAAAACCGUUCUCAGUUCGGAUUGCAGG